rfam:Gossypium raimondii chromosome 5, whole genome shotgun sequence.
GGAUAAUGAUGAGGACACUUACGAAGUAACUCCUUGAUCGCUUUCAAGACUCAUACAAAGACUCGUCAUCCAAUUGUUGGAAAGUUGUGAUCUCGUUCCUUAACUU